rnacentral:rRNA from 1 species
GAUGAACGCUAGCGGCAGGCCUAAUACAUGCAAGUCGGACGGGAUUCAGGAGCUUGCUUCUGAUGAGAGUGGCGCACGGGUGCGUAACACGUAUGUAACCUACCUUUAUCAGGGGGAUAGCCUCUCGAAAGAGAGAUUAAGCCCGCAUAAAAUCACAGCACAGCAUUGUGUAAUGAUCAAAUAUUUAUAGGAUAAAGAUGGGCAUGCGGAACAUUAGCUAGAUGGCGGGGUAACGGCCCACCAUGGCGACGAUGUUUAGGGGAUCUGAGAGGAUGGCCCCCCACACUGGUACUGAGACACGGACCAGACUCCUACGGGAGGCAGCAGUAAGGAAUAUUGGUCAAUGGGCGGAAGCCUGAACCAGCCAUGCCGCGUGCAGGAAGACGGCCCUACGGGUUGUAAACUGCUUUUAUACGGGAAUAAACCCAGAUACGUGUAUCUGGCUGAAUGUACUGUAAGAAUAAGGGUCGGCUAACUCCGUG